AAAUGCGAUAAGUAAUGUGAAUUGCAGAAUUCAGUGAAUCAUCGAAUCUUUGAACGCACAUUGCGCCCGCCAGUAUUCUGGCGGGCAUGCCUGUUCGAGCGUCAUUACAACCCUCAGGCCCCCGGGCCUGGCGUUGGGGAUCGGCGGAAGCCCCCUGCGGGCACAACGCCGUCCCCCAAAUACAGUGGCGGUCCCGCCGCAGCUUCCAUUGCGUAGUAGCUAACACCUCGCAACUGGAGAGCGGCGCGGCCACGCCGUAAAACACCCAACUUCUGAAUGUUGACCUCGAAUCAGGUAGGAAUACCCGCUGAACUUGAGC
rnacentral:misc_RNA from 1 species